rnacentral:tRNA from 1 species
GGGGGCAGCAGGAUAACUGGUGUUUCCCGUGGACUUCAAAUCCAUUGGUGGGUCUAGAAUGGCCCAUGGUGGGUUCGAUUCCCACAUGCCCCCGCCA